GAUGAACGCUGGCGGCGUGCCUAAUACAUGCAAGUCGAGCGAACGGACGAGAAGCUUGCUUCUCUGAUGUUAGCGGCGGACGGGUGAGUAACACGUGGAUAACCUACCUAUAAGACUGGGAUAACUUCGGGAAACCGGAGCUAAUACCGGAUAAUAUUUUGAACCGCAUGGUUCAAAAGUGAAAGACGGUCUUGCUGUCACUUAUAGAUGGAUCCGCGCUGCAUUAGCUAGUUGGUAAGGUAACGGCUUACCAAGGCAACGACGCAUAGCCGACCUGAGAGGGUGAUCGGCCACACUGGAACUGAGACACGGUCCAGACUCCUACGGGAGGCAGCAGUAGGGAAUCUUCCGCAAUGGGCGAAAGCCUGACGGAGCAACGCCGCGUGAGUGAUGAAGGUCUUCGGAUCGUAAAACUCUGUUACUAGGGAAGAACAUAUGUGUAAGUAACUGUGCACAUCUUGACGGUACCUAAUCAGAAAGCCACGGCUAACUACGUG
rnacentral:rRNA from 1 species